AGAUGUAAGAAUAACGGGUUUGA
rnacentral:piRNA from 1 species